UUUUAACUUUCGGGUGCAGUA
rnacentral:siRNA from 1 species